CAAGCCCUGCCGUGUUCGUGAUGUUGCACUACGGUUUUGAGCCAACACUCUGAACCUGGGAACCAUCUCUCACGAGGGCGAAGCGAUAGGCUCCGGCCAAGGCUGGACCCGACGGAAGGUUCCCACCUGCGAAAGCAGGUUCAAAAUCCAGCAGCACACGGCAUGGCGGGGUACGU
rnacentral:other from 1 species